rnacentral:tRNA from 1 species
UAGGUCAGUAGCUCAAUUGGCAGAGCGCCGGGCUCUUAAUCCGGGCGUUGUGAGUUCAAGUCUCACCUG